rnacentral:rRNA from 1 species
AUGAACGCUGGCGGCGUGCCUAAUCCAUGCCAGUCGAGCGAACAGAUAAGGAGCUUGCUCCUUUGACGUUAGCGGCGGACGGGUGAGUAACACGUGGGUAACCUACCUAUAAGACUGGAAUAACUCCGGGAAACCGGGGCUAAUGCCGGAUAACAUUUAGAACCGCAUGGUUCUAAAGUGAAAGAUGGUUUUACUAUCACUUAUAGAUGGACCCGCGCCGUAUUAGCUAGUUGGUAAGGUAACGGCUUACCAAGGCAACGAUACGUAGCCGACCUGAGAGGGUGAUCGGCCACACUGGAACUGAGACACGGUCCAGACUCCUACGGGAGGCAGCAGUAGGGAAUCUUCCGCAAUGGGCGAAAGCCUGACGGAGCAACGCCGCGUGAGUGAUGAAGGUCUUCGGAUCGUAAAACUCUGUUAUUAGGGAAGAACAAAUGUGUAAGUAACUGUGCACGUCUUGACGGUACCUAAUCAGAAAGCCACGGCUAACUACGUG